UCCUGCCUACUCCACAAAAUAGGCCCGACACCACUAGAAUUAAAGGAGGAUAAACCCGUUUGGCUCACGGUGCGGCAGUGUGGAGACCUGUCGUAAUGCUUCCGGAAUUUUGCUUUCCGGAAUGCGAGAAUGCGCGCGAAAGGAUCGGCGCAUUCGGAGCUACAGAAACAUGGCA
rnacentral:ncRNA from 1 species